CGGCAGCGCGGGGCAACCUGGCGGCGAGUGGCGAACGGGUGAGUAAUAUAUCGGAACGUACCCAAGAGUGGGGGAUAACGUAGCGAAAGUUACGCUAAUACCGCAUACGAUCUAAGGAUGAAAGCAGGGGACCGCAAGGCCUUGUGCUCCUGGAGCGGCCGAUAUCUGAUUAGCUAGUUGGUAGGGUAAAGGCCUACCAAGGCUACGAUCAGUAGCUGGUCUGAGAGGACGACCAGCCACACUGGAACUGAGACACGGUCCAGACUCCUACGGGAGGCAGCAGUGGGGAAUUUUGGACAAUGGGCGCAAGCCUGAUCCAGCAAUGCCGCGUGAGUGAAGAAGGCCUUCGGGUUGUAAAGCUCUUUUGUCAGGGAAGAAACGGUGGGAGCUAAUAUCUCCCACUAAUGACGGUACCUGAAGAAUAAGCACCGGCUAACUACGUGCCAGCAGCCGCGGUAAUACGUAGGGUGCAAGCGUUAAUCGGAAUUACUGGGCGUAAAGCGUGCGCAGGCGGUUUUGUAAGUCUGAUGUGAAAUCCCCGGGCUCAACCUGGGAAUUGCAUUGGAGACUGCAAGGCUAGAAUCUGGCAGAGGGGGGUAGAAUUCCACGUGUAGCAGUGAAAUGCGUAGAGAUGUGGAGGAACACCGAUGGCGAAGGCAGCCCCCUGGGUCAAGAUUGACGCUCAUGCACGAAAGCGUGGGGAGCAAACAGGAUUAGAUACCCUGGUAGUCCACGCCCUAAACGAUGUCUACUAGUUGUCGGGUUUUAAUUAACUUGGUAACGCAGCUAACGCGUGAAGUAGACCGCCUGGGGAGUACGGUCGCAAGAUUAAAACUCAAAGGAAUUGACGGGGACCCGCACAAGCGGUGGAUGAUGUGGAUUAAUUCGAUGCAACGCGAAAAACCUUACCUACCCUUGACAUGGAUGGAAUCCCGGAGAGAUYUGGGAGUGCUCGAAA
rnacentral:rRNA from 1 species